AUCUUAAAGAUAUUAAUUUUAAGUAAAAUCUGCUCAAUGAAAAAUUUUAAAUAGCCGCAGGUUUUCCUGUGCUAAGGUAGCAUAAUCAUUAGCUUUUUAAUUGAAAGAUAGAAUGAAAGAUUAAACGACACAAACUCUAUUUCUAUAAAUUUCAUAUAAUUUAAAAUAAAAGUAAAAAUUCUUUUAAAAUAAAAAAAGACGACAAGACCCCGAUAAACUUAUCAUUUUACUGGGGAGGUAUAUAUAAAAAAACCUUAUAAAUAACACAAACAAAACACCUAAAUUAAAUUAAUUUAUAGUUACUACGGGGAUAACAGCGCAACUUUCUUUUAAAGACCAAAUACAAAAGAAAAACUACGACCUCGAUGUUGAAUUAAUUUUAUCUUAUUACAGUGCAAAAACUACAUAGAUAGGUCUGUUCGACCAAUAAUAAAUU
rnacentral:rRNA from 1 species